rnacentral:sRNA from 1 species
GCGACGACAAUGCAGCGAAACUCAAGACA